UGUGUCUCCUUUUAUAUCUUCUCUAUUCUGUGUCUUCUUUUCUUUUACAGUAUCUUCUCUAUUCUGUGUCUCUUUUUAUAAAAUUUCUCUCUUUUCUUAUCAUGCACGUCGUUCUGCCACCUAGCCGUAUAACUAUUAUUUUGGAUGUUAAUCAAACACCUCAAACAUGAUUAAAAAUGUGGAAGAGAUUUGUACGUGGGAUGACUUUUGAAAUUCCCAGAACAACAUCUGCACGUUUUUAUCCAAAGAACAUGGGCUACAGAUACCGUACUAUGGCUGGUUGGACGUGGUUUCCAACCACCACCACGACUCAUUGGUAGAUUUGUUUUGUAUGUCUCUUAUGUUUGUUCGUUCUUUUACAAUUAUUUUCCAAGUUACAGGUUUCUUUUUCUAUUUUUUUUUGGUUAGUUACUCGUUGUAAUCAUAUGUUUGGUUAAGUUAUUUACUUAUAUAUGGGUGAUCAAUUUUGAUUUCC